CUCGUAGGCGGUUCGUCGCGUCCGGUGUGAAAGUCCAUCGCUUAACGGUGGAUCCGCGCCGGGUACGGGCGGGCUUGAGUGCGGUAGGGGAGACUGGAAUUCCCGGUGUAACGGUGGAAUGUGUAGAUAUCGGGAAGAACACCAAUAGCGAAGGCAGGUCUCUGGGCCGUUACUGACGCUGAGGAGCGAAAGCGUGGGGAGCGAACA
rnacentral:rRNA from 1 species